UACGGAGGGUGCAAGCGUUAUCCGGAUUCACUGGGUUUAAAGGGUGCGUAGGUGGUUAUGUAAGUCAGUGGUGAAAGCCCGCGGCUCAACCGUGGAAUUGCCUUUGAAACUGCGUAACUUGAGUAUAGUUGAAGUGGGCGGAAUACAUCAUGUAGCGGUGAAAUGCUUAGAUAUGAUGUAGAACACCGAUUGCGAAGGCAGCUCACUAAACUGUAACUGACACUGAGGCACGAAAGCGUGGGGAGCGAACAGG
rnacentral:rRNA from 1 species